rnacentral:rRNA from 1 species
GACGAACGCUGGCGGCGUGCUUAACACAUGCAAGUCGAGCGGUAAGGCCCUUCGGGGUACGACGAGCGGCGAACGGGUGAGUAACACGUGGGUGACCUGCCUUUAGCUCUGGGAUAAGCCUGGGAAACUGGGUCUAAUACCGGAUAUGACCUCAUGACGCAUGUUGUGGGGUGGAAAGCCUUGUGCGGCUAGAGAUGGGCCCGCGGCCUAUCAGCUUGUUGGUGGGGUGAUGGCCCACCAAGGCGACGACGGGUAGCCGGCCUGAGAGGGCGACCGGCCACACUGGGGACUGAGAUACGGCCCAGACUCCUACGGGAGGCAGCAGUGGGGAAUCUUGCGCAAUAGGCGAAAGCCUGACGCAGCGACGCCGCGUGA